rnacentral:rRNA from 1 species
GUGGUAUCCUGUCUGAAUAUGGGGGGACCAUCCUCCAAGGCUAAAUACUCCUGACUGACCGAUAGUGAACCAGUACCGUGAGGGAAAGGCGAAAAGAACCCCGGCGAGGGGAGUGAAAAAGAACCUGAAACCGUGUACGUACAAGCAGUGGGAGCACGCUUAGGCGUGUGACUGCGUACCUUUUGUAUAAUGGGUCAGCGACUUAUAUUCUGUAGCAAGGUUAACCGAAUAGGGGAGCCGAAGGGAAACCGAGUCUUAACUGGGCGUUAAGUUGCAGGGUAUAGACCCGAAACCCGGUGAUCUAGCCAUGGGCAGGUUGAAGGUUGGGUAACACUAACUGGAGGACCGAACCGACUAAUGUUGAAAAAUUAGCGGAUGACUUGUGGCUGGGGGUGAAAGGCCAAUCAAACCGGGAGAUAGCUGGUUCUCCCCGAAAGCUAUUUAGGUAGCGCCUCGUGAAUUCAUCUCCGGGGGUAGAGCACUGUUUCGGCAAGGGGGUCAUCCCGACUUACCAACCCGAUGCAAACUGCGAAUACCGGAGAAUGUUAUCACGGGAGACACACGGCGGGUGCUAACGUCCGUCGUGAAGAGGGAAACAACCCAGACCGCCAGCUAAGGUCCCAAAGUCAUGGUUAAGUGGGAAACGAUGUGGGAAGGCCCAGACAGCCAGGAUGUUGGCUUAGAAGCAGCCAUCAUUUAAAGAAAGCGUAAUAGCUCACUGGUCGAGUCGGCCUGCGCGGAAGAUGUAACGGGGCUAAACCAUGCACCGAAGCUGCGGCAGCGACACUAUGUGUUGUUGGGUAGGGGAGCGUUCUGUAAGCCUGUGAAGGUGUACUGUGAGGUAUGCUGGAGGUAUCAGAAGUGCGAAUGCUGACAUAAGUAACGAUAAAGCGGGUGAAAAGCCCGCUCGCCGGAAGACCAAGGGUUCCUGUCCAACGU